rnacentral:rRNA from 1 species
UCCUACGGGACGCAGCAGUGGGGAAUAUUGCUCAAUGGGGGAAACCCUGAAGCAGCAACGCCGCGUGAGUGAUGAAGGCCUUCGGGUUGUAAAACUCUGUCCUUGGGGAAGAAUGAAAUGACGGUACCCAGGGAGGAAGCCACGGCUAACUACGUGCCAGCAGCCGCGGUAAUACGUAGGUGGCAAGCGUUGUCCGGAAUUACUGGGCGUAAAGGGUGCGUAGGCGGUUGUUCAAGUCAGAUGUGAAAUACCCGGGCUUAACCUGGGGGGUGCAUUUGAAACUGGAUGACUUGAGUGCAGGAGAGGAAAGCGGAAUUCCUGGUGUAGCGGUGGAAUGCGUAGAUAUCAGGAGGAACACCGGUGGCGAAGGCGGCUUUCUGGACUGUAACUGACGCUGAGGCACGAAAGCGUGGGGAGCGAACAGGAUUAGAUACCCCGGUAGUCCC